AUGCUUUUGUUGUGUCUCCAGUACUGCAAACGUCCCUCCAUGCCUCGCCAAGGAAACAUUUGUGAGUCCAGCUUUGCACACUGCAGCAUCACCGGCAGCUCCAGAGUAGCUGCUAAACAUCACAGAAGUGGCUCGUUGUCCCACAGCCCCGACCAGAAAACACGAUCUGCCCAUUGGUCAGCUCCUCGCAGAACUCCGCCCAUACACAGAGGGAGGCUAAACCCCAUUGGAGGAUCGAAGUAUUCAGGCCCCGCCUACCAGCACCUCCAGGAGGUGGACCCGUCUGAGAAGGAGCCAGAAACGCAAAAAGGAGUCGACAUGCAGGGAGAGAACCAAGGAAACGACUCCAGACAAGAUGCCUUUGUACAUAUGCAAACUCCCGCUGCUAUGGAGACGCCGUCAGCUUUGCCUUGGUGCGGUCGUGAUGAGGUGUUUUCAGGCCCUCGUCCUCUGCCUCACCUGAACAGCCACCGCAGCCUGAGGAAACUCGACCAGCGCCAUAGCCUCUCCCCACCUCCCCCGUUUCGCUCCUGCUCCAUCCCCAUCAUCCCUUCCGUUCAGUGUCACCACGACAGCGAGGAGUCGUGUAUGCAAACCAGCCCAGAAACUACAGAGAUGUCAAUCACCUGCAGCGCCACACCCUGCAAACAGGAGAGGAGGGAGAUGUCGGCUCGAGCCCGGCUGUUCUCGUCCUCCUGCUCAUCGGCCGUUGGGCAGGACGAGGUGGCGCUGCUGCUGGAGGAGGCACAGGAGCAGCUCAGAGCACUGGCUCACAGGAAGCAGGAGGAGGGCGGGAUCUUUGCCAGAUCAACAGCCAUGCAGCUGGAGGCCAGAGAAACUGUCUGCUUCUUGAACCUUAAUGGAGGAACUUCUGGGGGACUUAGCUAUAACGGACCCAUGCAGACCCAACUUCUGAGCCAACCGCACAGAGACUCGGGCCAAAGCGGCCAAUGA
rnacentral:lncRNA from 1 species